rnacentral:rRNA from 1 species
UACGUAGGGUGCAAGCGUUAAUCGGAAUUACUGGGCGUAAAGCGUGCGCAGGCGGUUAUGUAAGACAGAUGUGAAAUCCCCGGGCUCAACCUGGGAGCUGCAUUUGUGACUGCAUAGCUAGAGUACGGUAGAGGGGGAUGGAAUUCCGCGUGUAGCAGUGAAAUGCGUAGAUAUGCGGAGGAACACCGAUGGCGAAGGCAAUCCCCUGGACCUGUACUGACGCUCAUGCACGAAAGCGUGGGGAGCAAACAGG